rnacentral:rRNA from 1 species
UUGGCGGACGGGUGAGUAACGCGUGGGUAACCUGCCUCAUACAGGGGGAUAACAGUUGGAAACGGCUGCUAAUACCGCAUAAGCGCACAGUACCGCAUGGUACCGUGUGAAAAACUCCGGUGGUAUGAGAUGGACUCGCGUCCAAUUAGCUAGUUGGUGAGGUAACGGCCCACCAAGGCGACGAUUGGUAGCCGGACUGAGAGGUUGAACGGCCACAUUGGGACUGAGACACGGCCCAA